rnacentral:rRNA from 1 species
GUAAGGACGCGUAGGCGGGAAGCCAAGUCUGAUGUGAAAUCCUAUGGUAACCAUAGAACUGCAUUGGAAACUGGUUACCUAGAGUAUGGGAGGGGGAGAUGGAAUUAGUGGUGUAGGGGUAAAAUCCGUAGAUAUCACUAGGAAUACCGAAAGCGAAGGCGAUCUCCUGGAACAAUACUGACGCUAAGGCGUGAAAGCGUGGGGAGCAAACGGGAUUAGAUACCCCGGUAGUCCACGCCCUAAACGAUGUUCACUAGUCGUCGGAAUGCUAGUCAUUUCGGUGAUGCACUUAACAGAUUAAGUGAACCGCCUGGGGAGUACGGUCGCAAGAUUAAAACUCAAAGGAAUAGACGGGGACCCGCACAAGUGGUGGAGCAUGUGGUUUAAUUCGAAGAUAUGCGAAGAACCUUACCUAGCCUUGACAUUGAAGAAACACUUUAGAGAUAGAGUGGUGCCCUUCGGGGAAUCUGAAAACAGGUGCUGCACGGCUGUCGUCAGCUCGUGUCGUGAGAUGUUGGGUUAAGUCCCGCAACGAGCGCAACCCUCGUCCUUAGUUGCCAGCAGGUUAAGCUGGGCACUUUAAGGAGACUGCCUUCGCAAGGAGGAGGAAGGUGAGGACGACGUCAAGUCAUCAUGGCCCUUAUGGCUAGGGCUACACACGUGCUACAAUGGGGCGUACAGAGAGUUGCGAUACCGCGAGGUGGAGCCAAUCUCAUAAAGCGUCUCUCAGUUCGGAUUGGAGUCUGCAACUCGACUCCAUGAAGCUGGAAUCACUAGUAAUCGUAGAUCAGCAAUGCUACGGUGAAUACGUU